rnacentral:rRNA from 1 species
UCGGGAAUUUUGGACAAUGGGGGAAACCCUGAUCCAGCCAUCCCGCGUGUGCGAUGAAGGCCUUCGGGUUGUAAAGCACUUUUGGCAGGAAAGAAACGUCAUGGGUUAAUACCCCGUGAAACUGACGGUACCUGCAGAAUAAGCACCGGCUAACUACGUGCCAGCAGCCGCGGUAAUACGUAGGGUGCAAGCGUUAAUCGGAAUUACUGGGCGUAAAGCGUGCGCAGGCGGUUCGGAAAGAAAGAUGUGAAAUCCCAGAGCUCAACUUUGGAACUGCAUUUUUAACUACCGGGCUAGAGUGUGUCAGAGGGAGGUGGAAUUCCGCGUGUAGCAGUGAAAUGCGUAGAUAUGCGGAGGAACACCGAUGGCGAAGGCAGCCUCCUGGGAUAACACUGACGCUCAUGCACGAAAGCGUGGGGAGCAAACAGG